rnacentral:misc_RNA from 1 species
CUGUGAUGGAGGAAAGUCGGUCAAUGACGGGUGAUCGCCGUUCCCCCGUCCCACAGGCUGUGUUGAUGUGGCGGGGUGAUGCGGAGAUGGGCGUGGUUGACCGGGUGCCGUCUGCGGGACGUGAGGAGGUGGUCGUCGACACCAACGCUAACAGUAACAGUAACAGCAGCAGUCCGGGCUCCCCGCCCCCGGUGCUAGUGCGAACGUCACCACAGGUGAUGAGCAAGUCUCCCGAUAGAAACUCACCUCCCGACAUUGUGAGGAUUUCGUCCACCUCCUCGCUGAUCACCUCUCCUCCUAGCAUAUCGAGCUCCUCGCCACCCCCAGCAGACGUCAACCUGGGAUGUGGGCAGGACGUGAAAUACAUGCACGCCACAGGGAAUGAGUCACCGCAAGACUGGAGAGCUAAUUCAAGGGACAGCAGACUUCACUGUUGGAAGGAGGAGUCCCAGAUACACAGUGCCAGCAACAGCCACCAUCCGCCCGCGAUGACCAACUCCGACUUCCAGGUGGAGAUCUCUGAAACGGUCGCCCUGGCUCUGCAGAACCGUCUGCCAGCAUCGGUCGCUAACUCCGCCUUCAACAAGCUCCUCCUGGCAACCGUCGCCAGCCAGAGGAUGGCCGCUAAAGGAGUUACCUCCCUUACGGAAAAGGACCUUAUUGAGCUGGACAAGCAGUUGACGGCGUCUGCUGCGAAUUACGUUACCGAGGCAACGCAGCAGACAGAGGACUCGAAGCAAGUUCUACACAACUACCUGGCUGCUAGUGAGACGAGACUGGAGAACUCUCACAGCCCGAGGCUGGCCGGGUCUCAGAGCCCCAGGCUGGCCAACUCACAGAGCCCCAGGCUGGCCAACUCACAGAGCCCCAGGCUGGCCAACUCACAGAGUCCCAGGCUGGCCAACUCACAGAGCCCCAGGCAGGUCAACUCACAGAGCCCCAGGCAGGUCAACUCACAGAGCCCCAGGCAGGUCAACUCACAGAGCCCCAGGCAGGUCAACUCACAGAGCCCAAACAGUGUUGGAAUUUUUUCUAACACAUCUCAGUCACAGUACAGUUUGACAGACAAAAAAGCCAUGUCGCGUCUCCCACCAGUGUCGUCAUACAAACACUUGGCCGUUUCCGACCCUUCCAUUAGCAACUCGGCACCCAGCAGUGACUCUUACUCCUACUACAGUGACCCGGUGUCAGUGAAUACUUCCGCUUACAGCAGCAACAGAGCAGGCUACAGUGACCGUGAGCCAGUAUCCGUGACUACUUCUGCUUACAGCAGCAACAGAGCAGGCUACAGUGACCGUGACCCAGUGUCAGUGACUACUUCUGCUUACAGCAGCAACAGAGCAGGCUACAGUGACCGUGACCCAGUGUCAGUGACUACUUCCGCUUACAGCAGCAACAGAGCAAGCUACAGUGACCGUGAGCCAAUAUCUGUGACUACUUCCGCUUACAGCAGCAACAGAGCAGGCUACAGUGACCGUGAGCCAGUAUCUGUGACUACUUCUGCUUACAGCAGCAACAGAGCAGGCUACAGUGACCAUGACCCAGUGUCAGUGACUACUUCUGCUUACAGCAGCAACAGAGCAGGCUACAGUGACUGUGAGCCAGUAUCCGUGACUACUUCCGCUUACAGCAGCAACAGAGCAGGCUAUAGUGACCAUGAGCCAGUAUCCGUGACUACUUCCGCUUACAGCAGCAACAGAGCAGGCUUGUCUAGUCCUGCAAGUGUCCACAAGGAGGCUCACAGCUCUCCCUUCACCUACAGAGUGCAGACGUCCUACGCCAGUCCUUCAUCACAGAAACAUUCACCACCAGUGUCAAGCCUGGUGCUAACGAAAAUAUCUGAAUCGAGUGUAUCACAAGAGAAAAUAUCAUCAUCUAUGCCUAGUCCGGUGUACAGUAAGGUACCGGUGUCUGUGCACAGUUCUUUUUGUGACAAGGUGUUUGUACCAUCUUCUGUACAAAGUGCAGAGUUUGACAAGAUACCGUCGUCACUACCGACUUCCAUGCUAGACCGAAUCUCCUCGUCAGAGUCUAACAAGCACCUGCAGAGUUCUCAGGUAGAGGGAACCGACUCAAUCUAUACAGGUUCGAGUUGGAGCUGUGAGAGUUCGCGCCAGACGGGUGAGCACGAUCACGUCAUGAUGACCAUCAACAGCGUGGCCGCCGGCGACAUCCAAGUUGACGACGACCUCUCCGAGAACGUCACCAGCCCCACCAGCCCCACGUGUGGCAGUCCAGCACGGACCCCGAAGCCGGCCCAGGCCACUCUGAAGUGUUUGGUGUGCAGUGACAAGUCGUCUGGGGUCCACUACGGAGUCCUAGCCUGCGAGGGGUGCAAGGGGUUUUUCCGCCGUGCGUUGCAGAAUGUGGGCGACCCGGCGCGUAAGAAAUGUUUCUACAACAAGAACUGCGAGAUCAACAUCCAGACGAGGAACCGCUGUCAGUACUGUCGACUCCAGAAGUGUCUCGCUCUCGGCAUGUCCCGCGCAGCGGCGAAGCUGGGCCGGCGGUCGCGGAAGAUGCGAGAGUUGAUCCGGUGUAUCGAGGACACACAGACGGAGCAGGCGCUGCAUGGACUGCUGAGUCUCAACUACGAAAACAACAUGGCCGACGCAGCCUCCAGCCCACCCGGUGCCAUGACGACGCUUGGAGGACUGGGUGCGCCCGGCGAGAUGAGCAACCAGUCGUCAAUGGCGGCGCUGUCCAUGCUGCUCAAACAGCGGUCCAGUCUGAACCAGCUCAUCGGUCAGCCCAUGGUGGCCGAGCGGGAGAUGGACGACCGCGAGCCAAUCAGCAGCUCCGUCACAGACUUGAGUCCAAUGUCGACGCACCACGACGCCGAGCCGCUCAUGUUGAAGGUGGAGCGGCGUCAGGUGUCGUACACGUCGCUAUCCGACUCAGACAGGUCAGUGAUGACCAGCAGCAUUCAGAAACCGUACAGUGCAAACCUCGUGUCGAGGUCGCAGAGUCUUGGCACUGACCGAUCUUCCAUUUCUCUCGGCGACAGGUCACUGAGCACAAGCAGUGAGCCCGGUGUUUCGAGUCGCCUCCCCCCCACCUCCAUCUCCCCCAUGCAUGGUCACGGCGUUGUGGAGUCGACGCAGUCUCUCGGUGACGCGCUGCACUCGACGUCGCACGUCCGAUACAGUCUGUCCGGACCACAGAUCAUCAUCAAGUCGGAGGGCGGGGGGGAGCGCGGGGGCGAGUCAGCGGAGACCCUCCACCCCAUGAUGCCUCCCCCCACACCGUCCAAUGUGGUGACCUCCCCCAUGUCGUUCUCCCUCGGCCAGCAGCAGGCGUCGGUGAUCGUGGAGAACGUGACCCUUGACCUGAGGAAGAAGAGUGACGAGCUCAUCAGCCGUAGUCCCAUCAAGAAACGCCCGUACAUCCCUGCCCCCGCCUCCAGCUCCGAGGAUGUCCUCCCGCCCCACGUCAAACGCGAGUACUCCGAGCCCAGAGACAAAUACAUCAAGCACAAUCUGCAUCAUCAACAACAACAACUACAGCAGCAGCCAGUUAACAUGAACAGUGGGCGACGCGCCUCCAAUGACUCAUGGCUUCCUCGACACGGCAAGACGCUCCAAAGAGAGUUGGCGGCAGUGAGACCCGAUACCUCGACUCAUGACACAACUCUAAUGACACGAGACCAGGUUCCCAUUGAACACACAGCUGUCGUGACGCCCAUGAUCAACAAAAACAACAUGUUUCCCCGCAGGACGGAAGAGGACGGAACAAAGCUGACGCUGCCCAACAUGAUUUUACGAAUUCACGACUCAUUCGGUUCGACCUUCACCUCUCUGAGGUCACGGUUUGGCGAGAUGGCGCAGAAGUUGCGGGAGUACUGCAGACAGAACACGAUGGAGCGCAUGAUUGGACGAAUCGUUCAAGAACAUCUUGUCAAUGCGGAAAACAAACAGCAGGGCAUCACGACGGGAGAGAUUUCCUGGAAACACUUCCAGAUGCGACUCAACAACACAAUCCAGGACGUCGUCAUCUUCGCGAAGAAGAUUCCAACUUUUACAAACCUUGAUCAGGAUGAUCAGAUCAGUCUGAUCAAAGGAGGAUGUUUUGAGGUGGCGUGUGUGGUGUGUGCCCCAUUCGUGGACUCUGAGACGAACACGAUCUUCCUGGUGGGUAACGGGAUGCUGGUCACUCGUGAAGAGAUGAAGUGUGGCUUUCCACUUGGGGAGCACUUCGUCGAGCUGCUCUUCAACCUGUGCUGUCGAUUCAACGCCUUCAAGCUUCACGAGUCAGAGAAAGCCUUGUUUAGUGCGCUCGUACUCAUAUCUCCAGAUCGACCAGGCCUCAAGAACCGCGAGAAGGUGAGCAAGCUGCAGGAGUUGCUGAUCCAGGCGCUGCAGGCAGAGAUCACGGCGUGCCACCCCGACGAGGUUGGCCUCUUCCCGCGACUCCUCAUGAGCAUCUCCAGCCUCCGUGAACUCGGGGUCGAACACAGACGCAUGCUCGAGUCUCUCAAGGGGCAGAUGAGCUUCAACCACGACCUCUACGCAGAGACCUUUGACCUCAUUCCCUAGACACACAGAUGGAUGGAUAGACUGAGAUAUCUGUCUUUGUCAGUCGAACCCUGUAACCUCUAUGCCGAGACUUUCGAUCUCAUUCCUUAAACACAGACACAUUAGACCCUAUCAGACAGACAGACACAUGAAAUCCUAUGAGACAGACAGACACAUGAAACCCUAUCAGACAGACAGACACUUGAAGCCCUAUCAGACAGACAGACACAUGAAACCCUAUCACAGACAGAUGGACACAUGAAACCCUAUCAGACAGACACACUUGAAGCCCUAUCAGACAGACAGACACAUGAAACCCUAUCACAGACAGAUGGACAUCUGUAACCUAUCAGAUGGAUGGACACAUCUAACCUCUAAGACAGACUCUCAUUUAAUUUCUUAGACAGAAAGACAGACAAAACCCUAUUAGACAGACUGACACAUGUAACCUGUGAGAUGGACAAACAGACACAUAAAACCUAUCACCCAGAUGAACUUACUAACCUAUCAGACAGAUGGACACACUAACCUAUCAGACAGAUUGACACACUAACCUCUCAGACAGAUGAACACACUAACCUAUCAGACAGAUGGACACACUAACCUCUCAGACAGAUGAACACACUAACCUCUCAGACAGACGAACACACUAACCUCUCAAACAGACGGACACAUUAACCUCCGACAGACGGAGACACUAACCUCUUGGACAGAUGGACACAUUAACCUCUCAAACAGAUGGACACACUAACCUCUCAGACAGACACACUAACCUCUCGAACAGAUGGACACACUAACCUCUCACUCAGAUGGACACACUAACCCUGUGAGAUGAAUGAACACAUGAAACCAUGUCUGACGGACACAGUAAACCCCGGUGAAACAGCCUUUGUUAUAUUUUAAAUAUCUUACUGAAGGCUCUAAGCUGAAGUAUUUAGACAUAAGUUUAAUAGUUUUUUAAAACCUUUAUUGCUUUGUAAGUGUUGUGUUCAGAAUUGCUGUUCAUCUGGUGAAAAUCAAGGCUCAGAUAUCUUUAUCACUAAGUAUAUUUGCUUUUGCAUUAUGUAUAGUAAUGUAUAUAUACUCACCGGUGAUUCAGCAAUCAAGGCUGGAAAGUCUCUAUCACUAAGUAUAUUUGUUUCUGCAUUAUGUAUAGUAAUGUAUAUACUCACCAGUGAUUCAGCAAUUGAGGCUGGAAAGUCUCUAUCACUAAGUAUAUUUGUUUCUGCAUUAUGUAUAGUAAUGUAUAUACUCACCAGUGAUUCAGCAAUUGAGGCUGGAAAGUCUCUAUCACUAGUUAUGUUUGCUUCUGCAUUAUAUAUGUUAAUAGAUAUAUCGAUUCGUGUUUUGGAAGUUCAGUUACCUGGUGAAUUUGGAGACUGUUUUGUUUUUUAAUUAUGUUUGUUAAUGUAUGUAUUUUCAAUAUGAUUGUUUUGUUUUAUUUUAUGUUUGUUAAUGUAUAUAUUUUCAAUAUCAUUAUGUUUUUGUAUUAUGUUUGUUAAUGUAUAUAUAUUUUCAAUAUGAUUGUUUUGUUUUUGUAUUAUGUUUAUUAAUGUAUAUAUCCACCGGUGAUUAGCAAGGCUUGAGUCUCUAUCAUUAAGUUUAUUUGCUUCAGCAUUAUAGACAUUAUUUAACUACCCAUUCAAGGUGACUGUCGUAGUGAAUGGAUGUAACUUACAGCGUCUAACUGGCACACCGAUAUCUAAACGACAUACCUCUAUUAACACUCAGAUGAAGCAUGUAGUUAAGAUUUCACUGAUUGAGAUAAACAUUGUAUUUAAUCAUUUGGUUUAGUGCUCCUUCAUCAUUUAAAAAUCUGAUUCAGAUGACAUACUAGAGUUGUUUCCCUUUGUUUGUGAGAUCUUUUUCUGAAUUAGCACAGGUUUGUAAACACAGUAAACCUUGACCUUCAAAACAAACUUUUGUAUUAAUCAUCAAUAUUUGAUUAGGAAACAUUAAAAUAUCUGUAAUGGAAACUCAGGUUUAAGCACAUUUUGUUUUUAAUUCAGUUGAAAAAACGUUUUACUGAAUUACUUUUCCUCUAUGUCCAGAAUGUAAGUUUUAUGAGGUCAGAGAUUAGGUAAAACAUAAUAAGUGACAAUAACAACUGUAGAGUUGUAUAGACAGUGUAAUACGCUGGGUGUAUACAGGUAUGUCAUGGUAUAGACAGUGUAAUACGCUGGGUGUAUACAGGUAUGUCAUGGUAUAGGCAGUGUAAUACGCUGGGUGUAUACAGGUAUGUCAUGGUAUAGGCAGUGUAAUACGCUGGGUGUAUACAGGUAUGUCAUGGUAUAGGCAGUGUAAUACGCUGGGUGUAUACAGGUAUGUCAUGGUAUAGGCAGUGUAAUACGCUGGGUGUAUACAGGUAUGUCAUGGUAUAGGCAGUGUAAUACGCUGGGUGUAUACAGGUAUGUCAUGGUAUAGGCAGUGUAAUACGCUGGGUGUAUACAGGUAUGUCAUGGUAUAGGCAGUGUAAUACGCUGGGUGUUUACAGGUAUGUCAUGGUAUAGGCAGUGUAAUACACAAGUAUAUACAGGUAUGUCAUGGUAUAGGCAGUGUAAUACGCUGGGUGUAUACAGGUAUGUCAUGGUAUAGGCAGUGUAAUACGCUGGGUGUAUACAGGUAUGUCAUGGUAUAGGCAGUGUAAUACGCUGGGUGUAUACAGGUAUGUCAUGGUAUAGGCAGUGUAAUACGCUGGGUGUAUACAGGUAUGUCAUGGUAUAGGCAGUGUAAUACGCUGGGUGUAUACAGGUAUGUCAUGGUAUAUGCAGUGUAAUACGCUGGGUGUAUACAGGUAUGUCAUGGUAUAUGCAGUGUAAUACACUGGGUGUAUACAGGUAUGUCAUGGUAUAUGCAGUGUAAAACACUGGGUGUAUACAGGUAUGUCAUGGUAUAGGCAGUGUAAUACGCUGGGUGUAUACAGGUAUGUCAUGGUAUAUGCAGUGUAAAACACUGGGUGUAUACAGGUAUCUCAUGGUAUAGGCAGUAUAAUACACUGGGUGUAUACAGGUAUCUCAUGGUAUAGGCAGUGUAAUACACUGGGUGUAUACAGGUAUCUCAUGGUAUAGGCAGUGUAAUACACUGGGUGUAUACAGGUAUGUCAUUUAGAUUACUGAUGCUCUGAGCCAGUCGGUUGCUUCGUUCCUGACAGACCUGUUUGUGUUGAGAAUGGUACCAGACAUAUUGGUUUUUUCUAAACAUUCCCAGUUUUCAUCAUGAUCCUUUAAUAUGUUUCAGAAUAAAAAUACUUGAUUUUGUUUUAAAUAUUUUUUUAAUCUUCCAUAUUUAUUCUUAGGAGGUGUUAAAAUUAUCAAUAUUUUCACUAGUGUGCAAACAGUACCUUUUUGUUUUGUUAUCCCCCAGCCCCAGCCCCUUCAAAUGGUGUACAUAAAUGUGUUAAUUUGGCAAAGACAGUUUAUUAUUUUUUUGACAAUAAGCAUACUGUCUUCACCCUCCAAGGGGUGUGGUUUGUAUGUUGAUGAAAAUGUUGAUAAAUAUAAACCAAACUAGAUUAGACCCAUCAUUUACAUAAUGUCCUCCUUUUUAACUUGAUUUUACAUUGAACUGUUUUAAAACUGACUAGCAUGGUGUUUUAGAGGCUUUACUGUACCCACCAUGCAAGCAAAUUGGUAGAAAUAGUGCUUCAGAAAUUAUAAAUAUGAAAAACAUGAUUUUUCAUAUUUAUUUUUUGCAUAAAAUACUGUUUACAAAGUGCACUGACUUUGAUAUGAAAUGCUGACAAAUGGCAGUUAGUAGGUAAGGAAUAAUGUUGAGUUUCAGUCUUUUCUAGAUCCUUUCAACCAAGCGGCUCACCUGGGUAAUAUGUACAGGUAGUUGUUUAGAAUACAGUACUGUUGAAAACUCGUUUUGAUUGGUCAGUAUGUCUGCUGCCUUUUCAAUGCAAGUGAUGAAGUUUAUCCCUACUCGGCAGCACAUAUUUAUUGGGGUUUCAUUUUGUUUACCUUCACUGUGGAUAUUUCUCUUAAACUGUUUAUUAAGUGAUAACUUAUGUCGUUUUGUACCGUGUUUUCUUAUGGCAACAUUGUAAAAGUAAAUGAAUAAUAAUAAGACAAAGGCACCCAUGUGAGUGUCUGAAAGAACAGGUAUAUAUAUAUGGUAUGUCCUGACACAGUGCUUGUAUAAUACACAUCAUGUAAUAAGAUUAUACACACACCCCAACUUGUGAUAACCAUUCUCUUAAUGCAUGUUUGUGCAGAAAUAUUUAAAUAGGGUAUUUUAUUGAGCUUUUUGCUAAAUAUUUUAAAUCGAGCGAAUGUUAAAAUGUUAAUUAUGCUAUCGUGUUGUUGGGCAAUCGCCGUUGUAUAUAUAAAGUGAUGCGGAUAGCGUAUAAGCUAUUUUUGACCCUGUUAAAAGCGUCCGUGUUAAGCGUUUGUAUAAUAAUAUCAUGUUGUUAAUUACUGAAGCUAUUAAUGUUAUAACAUAAUGUGGUAUGGCAGUGUGCUCUUCAGAUUAAAUGGAUUCUACGUGUUUACAAUGUAGUGCUCUAUAUUUAUUAAAUGUGUUCUACAUGUUUACAAUGUAGUGCUCUAUAUUUACUGAAAUGUUUCAAGUGUAUUUGUUAAACGUGUUCCACAUUUUUUUCUACUAUGCUGUACUAACAUAAAAAAAAAGCAAUGUUAAUUUUUUUUUUUUUAAACAUUGUAUAAUAUCAAUAUGAUAAUCUAUGAAAAGCAAAUUUAAUUUUAACUCUUUUAUUUAUUUUCACGUACACCUUAUAGAUGCUGAGAUUGAUCGACGAGGUUGUUGUAUUAUAUUUGUUAAUAUUGAGACAUGUUAUCCAUUAACCAUUAUUAGUAUGUUGUUUUUAACAAAUAUCUGUACAUAGUCGUCUUGCUAUUUAUUAUGCUGGUCAAAUGAAUCGUUUUGCAGAACAGUUUGUGUUUUUCUGCAAAUAUAUUUUUCAUGAUGUUUUAUUUUUAGUAGAUGUUUUGGGGUACUUGUGUUGCACAUUAUUUAGUUGGGACUUGUACUCCAAAUUGGAGAAUGUCAAAUCCAUGGUGCUUGCUAUUCAAAUGUCUGGACAGGAUUUUUUUUUUCAUCAAUCAAGAUACUGUUGUACAGCCUGAAAGUAACAGCCAAUGUUAAAACCGCUUGGUCCUCUGACACAUUUUACAGUAUCAGCCAGUCAAAACCACUUAGUCCUCUGACACAUUGUACAGUAUCGGCCGGUCAAAACCACUUAGUCCUCUGACACAUUGUACAGUAUCGGCCGGUCAAAACCACUUAGUCCUCUGACACAUUGUACAGUAUCGGCCGGUCAAAACCACUUAGUCCUCUGACACAUUGUACAGUAUUAGCCAGUCAAAACCGCUUGGUCCUCUAACACAUUGUACAGUAUCGGCCGGUCAAAACCGCUUGGUCCUCUGACACAUUGUACAGUAUCGGCCGGUCAAAACCGCUUGGUCCUCUAACACAUUGUACAGUAUCGGCCGGUCAAAACCGCUUGGUCCUCUAACACAUUGUACAGUAUCGGCCAGUCAAAACCGCUUGGUCCUCUGACACAUUGUACAGUAUCGGCCAGUCAAAACCGCUUGGUCCUCUGACACAUUGUACAGUAUCGGCCAAUCAAAACCGCUUGGUCCUCUGACACAUUGUACAGUAUCGGCCAGUCGUUUGAGGUGACAUUUAUACCUCCUUGCAUAGAAAAGUCAUUUCCAUACUUGGGGUAUGUUCCAGGUUGUCUACAAAAGAUAACACAAUGUCUUCUCUUCUUAUUUAAAAAAAAAAAAAUAUUAUCUCGUAAUUUCUUUUUUCUUCUUUUUUCUUUUCUUUUUAAGAUCAGACAAUGUCUUGAUGAUAAAGGGUUUCUUUAAGUACCAAUGUAAAAUUAAUGUUUUGCUCUGUCAUUAUAGUUUAGAGCAAUCUGAUUGGUUAAGCUAUAAAACACAUAUUUACUGCUGAAUGGACAUUAAAAUAAUAUCAUGUACCAUGACCUGAUACUGCUUUUUAACAGUCACAGUUAAGAAACCAUUGAAACAGAUUAAUGUCUAUUUAAUAACUGUAUUUUAUACAUUUAUUGGCCAUUUCUUAAAUAUGUAUGUGUAAAAUGAAUUUUCGGUCCAAGCUGUUUUAUUAUUGGUAAAAUUUUGCUUUGAGGCUAUCAGUACCGGUCUGUCUGUUUGCUUAGUCUGGAUCCAGAUAUCAAGUUAGUUGGGAUGAAAAGUAUCGUAAAUAUAUUUUAAAACAAGUUUCAGCUUUGUUUCCAACUUCAGUUAAGUGGCAUUAAGACUAGCAAAUAUUAAACUCAUUACUUGAAUAUCUAAGUUGUUUUUAUUGUUGAUAUUAUUAUUAAUUUUGUUUUACACAAAGGCCAGUAACUGGUAAUGCACUUAAAGAGGGCCUGCAAGACUAUUUCUAAUUAGGUUGCAGUUUUCUGCAGCAGAUGUUAACUGUCUCCACUGAGACAUUUUCUAUAAAUUCACUUACUCAAACUGAUACUGUAUUCAGUAAUGAAGCAGAUCAAGAUUAAGUAGGACCAUAUGCUCAGAAUGCCAGUUUUUGGAAUUAAACAAAAUUCAACUCAUUGCCUCUGGAUUUUAUUUAAAUAUUAUUGCACUUAAUGUAGUUCCUUAUAUUGAAAGUAAAUUUCUUCAAAAUAGAGGGUAAAUAUUUCUUUGAGAUUGGACUAAAAUUAGCUCUAUGAAUUUGAACUACUGGUAAAAGUAGUAGCUUAUAUUGAACUAAAAGUAGUUCCAUAUAUUGAACUAAAAGUAGUUCCUUGAAAUUUAACAAAAACUAGUUCUUUAUAUUGAAAUAUAAGUAGUUCCUAACAGUUAAAAUGAAAGUGGUUUCUUGAAAUUGAACUAAAAGUAGAUCCCAGGGUGUGUACUGAAAGUAGUUGUCGACCAUCUUGAUGGAAUGGAUCCAGUAUUGAGCUAGUUUUACAGAGAGACCAGAUAGAAGGUUGUUCUGUGACAUAUCUUAUGCUAUAUGCACUGUCCACCAUGCAAGCCAUACACUGAUAAAUGGCUUCUCACCAAUGUUGUUGGUUUAUGCAAUAGUCAUGAGUGUAGUGGUCGGUAAACUUUGCUGAGUAAUAACCAAAUUACACUAACCAUAGUCCUAUGCAAUUUAUACGACUUGACACACCCUAGCUUAGUGGUUUUAAUAUCUCCGACACUAUUCCCUUGUACAAGCCAGUAGAUCGUGAACGUCAGUUGUGUGUGUUUUGUACUCUAACCUAGUAGAUUAGUCAUUGAGAGUGCUCUUCGUAUAGAUUUUAGUGGGUCGAUCAUUGCACUAGGUCAAAGGUUGGGAAACUUUUGAUGUGCACUAAACAUUCAAGCAGUGUCCAUGGAUAUGUUAAUGAGAUAUGUCAUUCUUAAAUCUGCUUUUGUUUUUUUAAAUACUAGUUGCAGAAGGUAAUGCUUGCUUUAAAUAUAUUUUAUGUUUGAAAAAUAUAGAUCGUACUCAAAACUUGUUUUGUACAUCGGGUUUGUGGGUGGUUACAGUUUUUCUAUGGCACAGUUUAAUUCUGUUGGAAAUAUGUCAGUGACAUGAUUCUGUUACACUGUUCUGACUGUUGAGUUUCGAGAAAGUGAAUAAAUUCAAAAGUACCAGGCAGAUGAUAUGACCUUUGACCAUGUGAAUGUUUUUCUAUUUUAUUUAAUCCCUUUGAGCUCAUUUAUUGGCUGAUAUAUAAUGAGUGUUGUUUGAUUCUUGUUCUGUACUUCCGAAAGUUCCCCUGUACUAUUGAUUACAACACGAACUCCCAAACCUACUGUGUACUGAUUUAGCUUGUAUUUACUGGACACAAGCGGAAUAAUCUUUGAGUAAGCUGGUCCAGUUAGUCCAAGAUCGUUGUUAUGUGUAAUCGCUUGCUACACCUUUAUAUAGUCAAUGUCUUAUGAGCGAAUACGUUCUUAAGAUAAUUAUAUGUAGAAUAGAAACUAUGUAAAAUAUAUUUUUAUGUCUGUGUAGGAGCAAAAAAGUUUUGUUGUUUUCUUUGCCCUACCUGUUUUUCUUGCUCUAGUAUUACAGUUUUGUUUAGAUUGCUUUGGUAUUUGCCAUUAAAUUUUAACUUAUCAUGUUGCUUCCAUACAUACCUCUACAUGUAUGUGCUAGCAGAGUUAUGGCCCUUCAUGUCUAAAUGGCUGAAUAUCGUGUUUGAAUAUCAUAAAUUGUGUUGUGCCAGCAACAAACCUUACAGCUCACUGCUUCAGUUUGGUCUUUGGUCCGGUGAAUUGUCACCAGAUGUCACUACCAUAUCAGCACAUUCAUGUUUGGCAUGAGUUAUGCCCCUUUGUAACUAAAUAUAGAAGAGAUGAAAGCAAAAACAGAUCAUAGUUUCCAAAAUUGUCUGACUUCACGAUUCAUGAUUGUGAUUUAUCUAAGAUAGAAAAUAUAUAUAAUACCGGUCAUUUAUUUCGUUAUCAUUUUAUUUUGUAAUUUAUUUUCUUUGAAAUACAUUUUCAUCAAAGGACUCUUGUUACUUUAGCUUGUGGGUCAGGGAUGAAACCGAUUUAUUUACGCUUAAAUGUGUCAUCAGUAAUUAGAAGCGCAUCACAGUGUUAACCAAUCUUUCAUAUGUUUCUGUCAAAUUCUCAACUCAUGCUUGAAAGAACAAAAUUAUUUUGUGUGAUUGUAAUGCUCUAGCUUGUUGUUUUUACACUGAAUUAACCCGGGUGUUUACAUCAUCGUUGCCAGCAAAGCUGUGACGUGUUAUUACAACUACAACCAAAAACAUACCUGUGCCACCUGCAAUUUUAACUUUUUAAUGUAUUUUUGACUAACUGUUUUGAGUUGUUACAGCUCCGGUGAAUAAUUUAGUAUUUUCAAAUGAGCUCAUUUAUUUUGUAUUCAUUCUCAUACUUUAUCAUUUAAAAUUUGUUUGUUAUUUUCAUUGUUUGCUGUUUUUAUUAUUAGUCUAAUUAUAGAUAUAAUGUUCUGUUGUAGUUACAACACACACAUUUAACAGAUGUGUGUAUUAUUUAACUUCCUAAGUAGCAACUGUUUAAUUAUUUCUAGAAUGGACUUGAGGAAAUUACAAUAGGAAUUGAGACAAGUUAAAUGAUAACUACCUGUCAAACCGAUAGCCUGUGUGUAUGUUGUAAAACCUGUCUGUUAGGGACACGUCAUGUUGCGAGUUAGCUGAUGGUAUUUUAAAAAUCAGCAUCAACUCUUAGUCCUGAAGAAAAUGGUUUAGCUCAGUGUUCACUUUUGCAUGACAGAACUAUAAGUUCAAAAAUUUAUGGCUGUAAUUGUGACAGUUAUUCUACAGGUAACUUGGUUAUUCUACAGGUAACUUGGUUAUUCUGUAGGAAACGAAGAGUUAUUUUCAUUGAGUACCCAGAUCUGGGAUUUUAUAAAUUUACAGGAGUACAUGUAUUGUAAUAUUAUUUUAAAAUUUCGUGCCAUUUCAUUUUGUCAUCAUGUUCCAUUGACUUUGUCAUUUUAUCAAUACGUUCAUAGUGUUUUAACUAAGCUGUUAUGUUUUAAGAUGAACCGGUGAAUACUAGUAUAUCAUUUAGACAUCAUCAUGACUGCGUACUUCUCAAACAGUUUGAUACUGAGAGAUGUAAUGUUCGCUACUGGAUCCAUACAUCGGUGUUCAAAGUGUUUAGUAGGACUGUUCCACUUUGUCUGCAGGGGAUGAUGGUAAGAGUGAUAGGCAUAUUGUUUUCAACACUAGUCAAAUAAAUUGAAACCAUUUGACAUUCCUACAGAUUUAACACCAAUUAGCUAAUAACUUUAAAGUUUGUUUUGUUUAACAAGACCACUAGAGCACAUUGAUUUAUUAAUCAUCGGCCACUGGAUGUCAAACAUUUGGUAAUUCUGACAUAUGGUCUUAGAGAGGAAACCCGCUACAUUUUUUCAUUAGUAGCAAAGGAUCUUUUAUAUUCACCAUCCCAAAUACAGGACAGCACAUACCACAGCCUUUGAUAUAUAUCAGUUGUAGAGCAGUGGUGGAACAAGGAACAGCCCAAUGGGCCGUUUGACGGGGAUAAAUCCCAGACUGACUGCACAUCAAGCGAGUGCAUUACCACUAGGCUACGCCCUGCCCCAAUAUGCUAAUAAUUUAUAUUCUUCCACAUUAAAAUGUGUAAGUGUUUGACAUUUAGUGUUUAUUUAUUGCCUCGCAGUAGCCAUGUGUCACAUCAUACACCACACAGCACAUCUAUAGCAAUAACUUUUCCCAAACAGUAUAGUAGAACAAAAAGCCUUAAAAACAUUUGGUGCUUGUUUUUUUAAUUUUGCACUUUUCAGUUGCAAUUUUUGUUACUGUAGCAGACAUAUAAUGUUAAAAAACAGUAUGAAUUAAAAUAAUUUUUAUAUUUGCAUAUUAUGUACAUGAUGUUUAUAACAUACACUGUUGUGCUUUUGUCACGUGUUGUACGUUCUGUUCCUGAACCGUGAUGUUUUCAUGUUCCAGGAGGGGAGAAAUACACCAUUUGAGAAACACAUUGUUUCAUUGAUCAUAUGUUUAGUUCUGUCAUCUGACAAUCUAGUGACAUACAAAUAUGUUACCAGUGUAACCUUUUACUUUGAUAAUUUAUUGUACAUGUUAUAAUUGUGUUCUUCAAUAGUCGAAUAACACCAGAUUGUAUUGAAUAUUGUAUAUCCCGGUAGCUGAACAACAUCAUAUUGAAUAUUUUAAUGGUUAUCCCGGUGACAUCAUGUCAACAACCAUUUUGCUGCAAGACCAAAGCUGUCCCGGUAUCGUGCAAGCUGUCCCGGUAUUGUGCAAGCUGUCCCGGUAUUGUGCAAGCUGUAUUGUGCAAGCUGUCCCGGUAUCGUGCAAGCUGUCCCGGUAUUGUGCAAGCUGUCCCAGUAUCGUGCAAGCUGUCCCGGUAUCCGGUAUCGUGCAAGCUGUCCCAGUAUCGUGCAAGCUGUCCCGGUAUCGUGCAAGCUGUCCCGGUAUUGUGCAAGCUGGUGCUCUGUGUGCCAUUCGUUCCACCGUGAGAUACAGCCAGAGUCGGACCAACUUCCACUGCAGACUUUCCGUAUCUCACACUCACAUACAGCAUAUUUUCAUAUCUGACCAGUGUACAUCCCAACAUCACACCGACUUAGCCAUUCAAACGUUUAUUUUUGUUAGCUUUGAUAUUUUUCCAAUUAUUUGUUUAAAAUGACUGAUUUUCCUGUUUGAACAGUGAGUGCCACUAGGUUCCUGUUCUUCCAUUCUGUUUGAUGGAUGACACUGUAGUAACCUUUACAGGCAAUGGCCCGACACUGCUGUUAGUGUAACACGUAUCACACUGACCGAGUACUUUAAUCACUAAAAGUACACAUGAAAUACGCUUUGUUGUUUACAAUAUCGGUGUCUGUAGAUAUGGAUAAUUCUCAGUCUGAAUGCUUUUACAAGCCAAAAUGAGAUUUUACUUGCCAAUGACUUCGUAUGUAUGAAAAAAUAUAUAUUAGGAAGUAAAAUUAUGUUUUAGCUACUACAAACAUUGAGAUGACGAGAAACUCAUUGAAUAUAUACAGACAGUGGUAUUGUAAAGAAGACGAGGUAUUUGAUGUGGUUUAGUUGUUAAAACGACUGGUAGUGGGAAACAUGUUACAAUAGCGGCAAACUGAGGCCUGGCCCUUUAACAGACAAGUUAAUGAGAUGCAGGGUUUGGAACAAUUCACAGCCAGGGUGUUUAGUCAGUAUAUUUAACAAGUCCUGAUAUUACAUGUAUAAUUAAUGCUUGCAAUUUUAUGCACUGUAUUCUGUAAAAGGAUUAAUUUUUUUGCUGGAGUAUUUUCAUCAAGAAACCAUAGAAACAGUGAUCACGACAAAUUACUUGUAGUGUUUGAGCACAAUCUCCUGUGGUUUAUAAUUAUGGUUUGGUUUCUCCUGUGCUUUAUAAUUAUGGUUUGGUUUCUCCUGUGCUUUAUAAUUAUGGUUUGGUUCUGUUCUAAACUGGUGUUCCUCUGUGAAUACUGUUUGUUAAAACUAGUUUAUCUUCUAUAGAACACUUAAUCAUUUGUACAACAGAUUGUGUUAGUGAUCAAGUUUUGCCGAGGGACGUACGUACUGUGUACUCUGCUGUGACCAACUGGAAUUGUUAUGUAUAUGUAGCCCAGCAGUCAAAGACACAACAAUAUGAAGAAUCCUUCUUCUUUUUCAAGCUGGUUGGAAUUGUGCGAUUAGUUUUCAAACCACAGUGAAAUUGUGUUAAUGAUCUUGACCUCUGUAAAUGUUUGUAAUGUGUGUUUGUGUGUGUGUGCUAUAGUGCUAGAUAAAUUAUUUCCUGAUCCA